rnacentral:lncRNA from 1 species
CACGCUCACUGCAGUGGCUCCGGCUUCAGCAGCCUUGGAGAAGCAUCAGCUGAGAGGAGCUAUCACAUGGGAACCGGGAGCUGCUCAGCAAAGCCACUGUGGAAGUGUACCACCAAGUGAGGCAUGGCACGGCGGGCUGGAAGAGUACUGGCCCUGGAGCCAGACCACCUGGGGCUGUACCCGGACCUUGCCACUUACUAGCUUUGUGACAUUCGGUAAGUUCCUUAACCUCUCUAGGCUGCAGUUUCAUCAAUUGCAAAUUGGGGAUAAGAAUAGUAUCUACCCAAGAGGGUUGCAUGAGGAUGAAAAUGAGUUAGUACACACCGAGUGCUUAGAGCAGGGCCUGGCAUGUGGAUGUCACUGCUUAUUAUGAGUGGUAUUAUUUAUAAAUCUCACAGUACCCUCUAAGCACGAUUGUGAAGUAGGUAUCAUUCCCUUUAUUUUACAGAUGCCCUUAUGAGGAAACUUCUGAACUUCAGAAGAGUCACUGAGUUAGUAAUUCCCAGACCUGGGACUGGAAGCCAAAUCUUGUGCUCCUUCUGCUCUCCCCAAUAGUUCCUACCAUUCUGAGGAGACAAGAAAUCAGGAAAUUUACAUAAGCAACCUUAAAACUGGGGCACUGUCCCAGAGCUCAGCAGAACCCUGGGAAAGGGGAACAGAGGACAGAGAAUCUCUGGAUAACAGUCCUUGAAAGAGGGGGAGGGUAUGGACAACAGAGGAAAGGAAGUGGGAAAGAAGGAGCCAAGGCUCCCUCAUCCUGCGUCUUCUCAGUCACCAAGGCAGACCUGGAACUACCUCCUCUCAGAGAGAUGAGCUCCUGAGCCCUCAGUUACUGGGCUGGCACUCCGGACCAGCAGCCCAGCCUCGAAGGCUGGCAGUAAGAGCUUGCCUGAGAGACAGACUCCAGCAGGAGGCACCCUCUCCCCACAUCCCCACACACAGCAUUGGGAAGCCUGGGCCUGGGCUUGCCAUCCCAGGGUCACUGGACUAGGAUGGGGGAUGGGCCUGUGACAGGAGGUGUCCU